UAUAUCGGAACAUGUCCGGAAGUGGGGGAUAACGUAGCGAAAGUUACGCUAAUACCGCAUAUGCCCUGAGGGGGAAAGGGGGGGAUCGCAAGACCUCUCGCUUUGGAGUGGCCGAUAUCGGAUUAGCUAGUUGGUGGGGUAAAGGCCCACCAAGGCGACGAUCCGUAGCUGGUCUGAGAGGACGACCAGCCACACUGGAACUGAGACACGGUCCAGACUCCUACGGGAGGCAGCAGUGGGGAAUUUUGGACAAUGGGCGCAAGCCUGAUCCAGCCAUACCGCGUGAGUGAAGAAGGCCUUCGGGUUGUAAAGCUCUUUCAGCCGGAAAGAAAUCGUGCAGAUUAAUACUCUGUAUGGAUGACGGUACCGGAAGAAGAAGCACCGGCUAACUACGUGCCAGCAGCCGCGGUAAUACGUAGGGUGCGAGCGUUAAUCGGAAUUACUGGGCGUAAAGCGUGCGCAGGCGUUUUGUAAGACAGAUGUGAAAUCCCCGCCUUAACCUGGGAACUGCAUUUGUGACUGCAAGACUAGAGUGUAGCAGAGGGGGGUAGAAUUCCACGUGUAGCAGUGAAAUGCGUAGAGAUGUGGAGGAAUACCAAUGGCGAAGGCAGCCCCCUGGGUUAACACUGACGCUCAUGCACGAAAGCGUGGGGAGCAAACAGGAUUAGAUACCCUGGUAGUCCACGCCCUAAACGAUGUCAACUAGGUGUUGGGGAAGGAGACUUCUUUAGUACCGCAGCUAACGCGUGAAGUUGACCGCCUGGGGAGUACGGUCGCAAGAUUAAAACUCAAAGGAAUUGACGGGGACCCGCACAAGCGGUGGAGCAUGUGGUUUAAUUCGACGCAACGCGAAGAACCUUACCUGGGUUUGACAUCCCGGGAAUCCCCUGGAAACAGGGGAGUGCCCUUCGGGGAGCCCGGAGACAGGUGCUGCAUGGCUGUCGUCAGCUCGUGUCGUGAGAUGUUGGGUUAAGUCCCGCAACGAGCGCGACCCCUGUCUUUAGUUACCAUCAUUCAGUUGGGGACUCUAAAGAUACUGCCCCGGUCAACGGGGAGGAAGGUGGGGAUGACGUCAAGUCCUCAUGGCCUUUAUGCCCAGGGCUACACACGUGCUACAAUGGGCUGUACAAAGGGUUGCAAGCCCGCGAGGGUAAGCCAAUCCCAGAAAGCAGCUCGUAGUUCGGAUUGGAGUCUGCAACUCGACUCCAUGAAGCUGGAAUCGCUAGUAAUCGUGGAUCAGCACGCCACGGUGAAUACGUUCCCGGGCCUUGUACAC
rnacentral:rRNA from 1 species